GAUCUGCUUCCAAUCUAAAUUGUAAACCAUUUAUAAGCUUUUCUUAACUCAACAUAUGGCCAACAGGAGUGAACUAUUAUGUUCCAAUUAGUGUAAAUAGUAGAAUACAUUAACUCCCAAUUUAUUAGUUAUUAUAAUAUCUAUAUAUGACAGAAAACCUUUUUUGGUGUAGUUAUAGUCUAAAUAAUGCAGUUAUGUUCCAACAGGGUGAUAGAAGAAAGGAGUGAAGGUGUUAAAUGUCAAUCUUAUAACAUAGGCUAUUUACUUUAAGUUAACACACUUUAUAACCUAAAAGAAUAACUCGAGUAACUUGGCUCUCCCCGUGCUGCCAUGAUGUUAGUUGUUCCCGAGGGUUACUUGUGCAUCGAUUGGUUUUUUAUUUUGCAGAAAUGUAAGCCUUGCCCAAGGCUUAGUUGUGUGUUCUUGAGACACGUAGCCCCUUUGAUGCAUUAGCCUUGCCCGAGGCU
rnacentral:lncRNA from 1 species